CAGAAUUGCUGAGUUGAUAUUAAAAUAUUGAAAUAAUACAGAUAAGAUAAUUAUGGACACUGAAACAGAUGGCUUGCAACUCCAAGAAGUACUCCAUAUUUGG
rnacentral:snRNA from 1 species